CGGCUCAGUAACACGUGGAUAACCUACCCUUGAGUUGGGAAUAAACCCGGGAAACUGGGUAUAAUACCCGAUAGAUCUCGACUGCUGGAAUGCAUCGAGAUCCAAAGCUCCGGCGCUCAAGGAUGGAUCUGCGGCCUAUCAGGUAGUAGUGGGUGUAGCGUACCUACUAGCCUACGACGGGUACGGGUUGUGAGAGCAAGAGCCCGGAGAUGGAUUCUGAGACACGAAUCCAGGCCCUACGGGGUGCAGCAGGCGCGAAAACUUUACAAUGCUGGAAACAGCGAUAAGGGGACCUCGAGUGCCAGGUUACAAAUCUGGCUGUCGUGAUGCCUAAAAAGCAUUGCAUAGCAAGGGCCGGGCAAGACCGGUGCCAGCCGCCGCGGUAACACCGGCGGCUCGAGUGGUAACCGUUAUUAUUGGGUCUAAAGGGUCUGUAGCCGGCCGGAUAAGUCUCUUGGGAAAUCUGGCAGCUUAACUGUCAGGCUUUCAGGAGAUACUGUCUGGCUCGAGGCCGGGAGAGGUGAGAGGUACUUCAGGGGUAGGGGUGAAAUCUUGUAAUCCUUGAAGGACCACCAGUGGCGAAGGCGUCUCACCAGAACGGACCUGACGGCAAGGGACGAAAGCUAGGGGCACGAACCGGAU
rnacentral:rRNA from 1 species